GAUGAACGCUGGCGGCAUGCCUAACACAUGCAAGUCGAUCGGUAAGGCUCUUCGGAGUACACGAGAGGCGGACGGCUGAGUAACGCGUAGGAACACACCCUGCAGUGAGGGAUAAGACACCGAAAGUUGUGCUAAUACCGCAUACGGUCUUCGAAUUAAAGCAUUUAUGCGCUGAAGGAGUGGCCUGCGUCAUAUUAGAUAGUUGGUGAGGUAAUGGCUCACCAAGUCGAUGAUGUGUAGCAGGUCUGAGAGGAUGAUCAGCCAGACUGGAACUGUGACACGGUCCAGACUCCUACGGGAGGCAGCAGUGAGGAAUAUUGCACAAUGAGCGAAAGCUUGAUGGAGCAAUGCCGCGUGCAGGAUGAAGGCCGUCGGGUUGUAAACUGCUUUUAUAAGAGAAGAUUAUGACGGUAACUUAUGAAUAAGGGACGGCUAACUACGUG
rnacentral:rRNA from 1 species